rnacentral:rRNA from 1 species
GUUUAGUGGCGGACUGGUGAGUAACGCGUGAGCAAUCUGCCUUUAAGAGAGGGAUAACAUACUGAAAAGCGUGCUAAUACCUCAUAAAGUAUACGUGUGGCAUCGCAUAUAUACCAAAGGAGCAAUCCGCUUAAAGAUGAGCUCGCGUCUGAUUAGGUAGUUGGUGAGGUAACGGCCCACCAAGCCGACGAUCAGUAGCCGGACUGAGAGGUUGAACGGCCACAUUGGGACUGAGAUACGGCCCAGACUCCUACGGGAGGCAGCAGUGGGGGAUAUUGCACAAUGGAGGAAACUCUGAUGCAGCAACGCCGCGUGAAGGAUGAAGGCCUUCGGGUUGUAAACUUCUGUCCUUGGUGACGAAGAUAGUGACGGUAGCCGAGGAGGAAGCCACGGCUAACUACGUGCCAGCAGCCGCGGUAAUACGUAGGUGGCAAGCGUUGUCCGGAAUUACUGGGUGUAAAGGGUGCGUAGGCGGCUUGUAAAGUCAGAUGUGAAAUCCUGUGGCUUAACCACAGAACUGCAUUUGAAACUUACGAGCUUGAGUGAAGUAGAGGUAAGCGGAAUUCCUAGUGUAGCGGUGAAAUGCGUAGAUAUUAGGAGGAACACCAGUGGCGAAGGCGGCUUACUGGGCUUUAACUGACGCUGAGGCACGAAAGCAUGGGGAGCAAACAGGAUUAGAUACCCUGGUAGUCCAUGCUGUAAACGAUGGAUACUAGGUGUGAGGGGUACUGACCCCCCUCGUGCCGCAGUUAACGCAAUAAGUAUCCCACCUGGGGAGUACGGCCGCAAGGUUGAAACUCAAAGGAAUUGACGGGGGCCCGCACAAGCAGUGGAGUAUGUGGUUUAAUUCGACGCAACGCGAAGAACCUUACCAGGCUUUGACAUCCAACUAACGAAGUAGAGAUACAUUAGGUGCCCUUCGGGGAAAGUUGAGACAGGUGGUGCAUGGUUGUCGUCAGCUCGUGUCGUGAGAUGUUGGGUUAAGUCCCGCAACGAGCGCAACCCUUAUGUUUAGUUGCUACGCAAGAGCACUCUAAACAGACUGCCGUUGAUAAAACGGAGGAAGGUGGGGAUGACGUCAAAUCAUCAUGCCCUUUAUGGCCUGGGCUACACACGUACUACAAUGGCGAUUAACAAAGGGGAGCAAAAUCGCGAGGUGGAGCAAAUCCCAAAAAAUCGUCUCAGUUCGGAUUGUAGGCUGAAACCCGCCUAUAUGAAGUCGGAAUUGCUAGUAAUCGCGAAUCAGCAUGUCGCGGUGAAUACGUUCCCGGGCCUUGUACACACCGCCCGUCAAACCAUGAGAGCCGGUGGCACCCGAAG